rnacentral:rRNA from 1 species
CCUACGGGUGGCAGCAGUGAGGAAUAUUGGUCAAUGGGCGCGAGCCUGAACCAGCCAAGUAGCGUGAAGGAUGACGGCCCUACGGGUUGUAAACUUCUUUUAUAAAGGAAUAAAGUGAGGCACGUGUGCCGUGUUGUAUGUACGUUAUGAAUAAGGAUCGGCUAACUCCGUGCCAGCAGCCGCGGUAAUACGGAGGAUCCGAGCGUUAUCCGGAUUUAUUGGGUUUAAAGGGAGCGUAGAUGGGUUGUUAAGUCAGUUGUGAAAGUUGGCGGCUCCACCGUAAAAUUGCACUUGAUACUGGCAGCCUUUAGUUCCGUUGAGCUAGGCGGCCUUC